AGUAUUUUAGCUCAGCUGGUAAGAGCACAGUGCUGAUAAUACCAAUGCCAUGGGUUUGAUCCCCAUAUAGGUGCAUAUUU